UUUUAUGAGAGUUUGAUCCUGGCUCAGGACGAACGCUGGCGGCGUGCCUAAUACAUGCAAGUCGAACGCUUCUUUUUCCACCGGAGCUUGCUCCACCGGAAAAAGAGGAGUGGCGAACGGGUGAGUAACACGUGGGUAACCUGCCCAUCAGAAGGGGAUAACACUUGGAAACAGGUGCUAAUACCGUAUAACAAUCGAAACCGCAUGGUUUUGAUUUGAAAGGCGCUUUCGGGUGUCGCUGAUGGAUGGACCCGCGGUGCAUUAGCUAGUUGGUGAGGUAACGGCUCACCAAGGCCACGAUGCAUAGC
rnacentral:rRNA from 1 species